rnacentral:rRNA from 1 species
ACGCACCCUUCGGGGUGAGUGGCGCACGGCUGAGUAACACGUGGGAAUCUGUCGUCGAGUGGGGGAUAACGCACCGAAAGGUACGCUAAUCCCGCAUACGUUCCGCAAGGAAGAAAGGCGCAAGUCGCUGGACGAGGAGCCUGCGGCCCAUCAGGUAGUUGGAGGGGUAACGGCCCACCAAGCCAAUGACGGGUAGCUGGUCUGUGAGGACAACCAGCCAGACUGGGACUGAGAACGGCCCAGACUCCUACGGGAGGCAGCAGUAAGGAAUUUUCGUCAAUGGGGGAAACCCUGAACGAGCAACGCCGCGUGGAGGAUGACGGUCUUCGGAUUGUAAACUCCUUUUAUGAGGGACGAUAAUGACGGUACCUCAGGAAUAAGCCCCGGCUAACUCUGUGCCAGCAGCCGCGGUAAUACAGAGGGGGCAAGCGUUGUCCGGAAUUACUGGGCGUAAAGAGCACGUAGGCGGUCGCGCAAGUGGUGUGUGAAACCACCCAGCUUAACUGGGUGACGCCAUGCCAAACUGCGCGACUCGAGUCAUGGAGAGGUUAUUCGAAUUGCUGGUGUAGUGGUGAAAUGCGUAGAGAUCAGCAGGAAGACCAAGGGCGAAAGCAGAUAACUGGCCAUGGACUGACGCUCAGGUGCGAAAGCGUGGGGAGCAAACUGGAUUAGAUACCCAGGUAGUCCACGCCGUAAACGAUGUAUGCUCGGUAUGUGUGCCUGUUAAGGGCAUGGGUACCUUAGGAAACCCGGUAAGCAUACCGCCUGGGAAGUACGAACGCAAGUUUAAAACUCAA